GACGAACGCUGGCGGCAUGCCUAAUACAUGCAAGUCGAGCGGACAGAUGAAGUGCUUGCACUUCUGACGUUAGCGGCGAACGGGUGAGUAACACGUAAGGAAUCUACCUAUAAGCGGGGGAUAACAUUCGGAAACGGGUGCUAAUACCGCAUAAUAUCUUCUUCCGCAUGGAAGAAGAUUGAAAGACGGCUCUGCUGUCACUUAUAGAUGACCUUGCGGUGCAUUAGUUAGUUGGUGGGGUAAUGGCCUACCAAGACGAUGAUGCAUAGCCGACCUGAGAGGGUGAUCGGCCACAUUGGGACUGAGACACGGCCCAAACUCCUACGGGAGGCAGCAGUAGGGAAUCUUCCGCAAUGGGCGAAAGCCUGACGGAGCAAUGCCGCGUGAGUGAAGAAGGCCUACGGGUCGUAAAACUCUGUUAUAAGAGAAGAACAAAUUGUAGAGUAACUGCUACAGUCUUGACGGUAUCUUAUCAGAAAGCCACGGCUAACUACGUGCCAGCAGCCGCCGUAA
rnacentral:rRNA from 1 species